UAACACGUAAACAACCUGCCUUCAGGAUGGGGACAACAGACGGAAACGACUGCUAAUACCGAAUAAGUUCCAAGGGCCGCAUGGCCCAUGGAAGAAAGGGUGGCCUCUACCUGUAAGCUAUCGCCUGAAGAGGGGUUUGCGUCUGAUUAGCUGGUUGGAGGGGUAACGGCCCACCAAGGCGACGAUCAGUAGCCGGUCUGAGAGGAUGGACGGCCACACUGGAACUGAGACACGGUCCAG
rnacentral:rRNA from 1 species